rfam:Salmo salar isolate Sally breed double haploid chromosome ssa23, whole genome shotgun sequence.
UGCAGUCGCCACUGUAAGUCGCUCUGGAUAAGAGCUUCUGCUAAAUGACUAAAA